rnacentral:rRNA from 1 species
ACGCACGCUGGCGGCGUCCUUAACACAUGCAAGUCGAACGGAAAGGCCCUGCUUUUGUGGGGUGCUCGAGUGGCGAACGGGUGAGUAACACGUGAGUAACCUGCCCUUGACUUUGGGAUAACUUCAGGAAACUGGGGCUAAUACCGGAUAGGAGCUCCUGCUGCAUGGUGGGGGUUGGAAAGUUUCGGCGGUUGGGGAUGGACUCGCGGCUUAUCAGCUUGUUGGUGGGGUAGUGGCUUACCAAGGCUUUGACGGGUAGCCGGCCUGAGAGGGUGACCGGCCACAUUGGGACUGAGAUACGGCCCAGACUCCUACGGGAGGCAGCAGUGGGGAAUAUUGCACAAUGGGCGGAAGCCUGAUGCAGCAACGCCGCGUGCGGGAUGACGGCCUUCGGGUUGUAAACCGCUUUCGCCUGUGACGAAGCGUGAGUGACGGUAAUGGGUAAAGAAGCACCGGCUAACUACGUG